UACAGAGGUCUCAACCGUUGUUCGGAUUCAUUGGGCGUAAAGGGUGCGUAGGCGGUCGUGCAAGUCGGAUGUGAAAUCUCAGGGCUCAACCCUGAAACUGCAUUUGAUACUGCGGUGCUUGAGGACUGGAGAGGAGACUGGAAUUCACGGUGUAGCAGUGAAAUGCGUAGAUAUCGUGAGGAAGACCAGUGGCGAAGGCGGGUCCCUGGACAGUUCCUGACACUGAGGCACGAAGGCCAGGGGAGCAAACGGG
rnacentral:rRNA from 1 species